AACGAACGCUGGCGGCAUGCCUAACACAUGCAAGUCGAACGAGACCUUCGGGUCUAGUGGCGCACGGGUGCGUAACGCGUGGGAACCUGCCUUUAGGUUCGGAAUAACUCAGAGAAAUUUGAGCUAAUACCGGAUGAUGUCUUCGGACCAAAGAUUUAUCGCCUUUAGAUGGGCCCGCGUUGGAUUAGCUAGUUGGUGGGGUAAAGGCCUACCAAGGCGACGAUCCAUAGCUGGUCUGAGAGGAUGAUCAGCCACACUGGGACUGAGGCACGGCCCAGACUCCCACGGGAGGCAGCAGUGGGGAAUAUUGGACAAUGGGCGAAAGCCUGAUCCAGCAAUGCCGCGUGAGUGAUGAAGGCCUUAGGGUUGUAAAGCUCUUUUACCCGAGAUGAUAAUGACAGUAUCGGGAGAAUAAGCUCCGGCUAACUCCGUG
rnacentral:rRNA from 1 species